CCCCGUGUCCGCCGCGGGGGGUCUGGUCAGGACAUUCCACCGCCUAAUGACUCGUGCAUCGGUUUGAAAGGGCCUUGAACGUACCGUGGAUCAUCAUGGAUGAUCGUGGAGCAUCGUGAACCAUUGGUGAACCUCGAUCAACCGUACGAGCGUCAAUCGUCCCGGUGCUCUUGUCGGAUCGAGGUGAGAGAAUGCAAACACGCCUGGGCAUGGAGAGAUUUACCCCAUUAAUGGAAAGCUAGGUGGAUUAUUAAUUGAACACGAGAAUUUGAGAUUUGGGAAUGACUAUGAAAACGUAUACCACUGGGGCAUCCUGCCGAACGAGAAGAAGAUAAACAGAGUAUCCGGUUAAAAACAUUGGAAUAAUUCGACCAGGUGGUACCGAAGAGACCAGGCUCGAUUAGGGAUUUAAUUCAAGUAGAAUAAAUACCCUGGUCCAGAUGGGGGGAAUCGUUCCGGCUGAAGGAUCUUUAUGGAGGAGGAUUCAGUUUUAAGAAUACCAAAAUUAAAGAAAAAUAUAGAAAAUUUUUUUUUUCGCAAAUAUCAAAAUUCCAAU